GGACUACCGGGGUAUCUAAUCCCGUUCGCUCCCCUCGCUUUCGCACCUGAGCGUCAGACGCCAGCCAGGACACUGCCUUCGCCUUUGGUGUUCUUCCGGAUCUCUACGCAUUUCACCACUCCACCCGGAGUUCCAUGUCCCUCUCUGGCCCUCAAGCCGCGCCGUCUUUGGGGCGCUCUCCCAGUUAGGCCGGGAGCUGUCACCUCAAACGUGCGCAGCCGCCUGCGUGCGCUUUACGCCCAGUAACUCCGGACAACGCUUGCCCCCUACGUAUUACCGCGGCUGCUGGCAC
rnacentral:rRNA from 1 species